rnacentral:rRNA from 1 species
AACGAACGCUGGCGGCAGGCCUAACACAUGCAAGUCGAGCGGACCCUUCGGGGUUAGCGGCGGACGGGGGAGUAACGCGUGGGAAUAUGCCCUUCUCUACGGAAUAGUCCUGGGAAACUGGGGUUAAUACCGUAUACGCCCUUUGGGGGAAAGAUUUAUCGGGGAAGGAUUAGCCCGCGUUGGAUUAGGUAGUUGGGGGGGUAAUGGCCUACCAAGCCGACGAUCCAUAGCUGGUUUGAGAGGAUGCUCAGCCACACUGGGACUGAGACACGGCCCAGACUCCUACGGGAAGCAGCAGUGGGGAAUCUUAGACAAUGGGGGCAACCCUGAUCUAGCCAUGCCGCGUGAGUGAUGAAGGCCUUAGGGUUGUAAAGCUCUUUCAGCUGGGAAAAUAAUGACGGUACCAGCAGAAGAAGCCCCGGCUAACUACGUG